rnacentral:rRNA from 1 species
GACGAACACUGGCGGCGUGCCUAAUACAUGCAAGUUGAGCGCUGAAGGUUGGUACUUGUACCGACUGGAUGAGCAGCGAACGGGUGAGUAACGCGUGGGGAAUCUGCCUUUGAGCGGGGGACAACAUUUGGAAACGAAUGCUAAUACCGCAUAAAAACUUUAAACACAAGUUUUAAGUUUGAAAGAUGCAAUUGCAUCACUCAAAGAUGAUCCCGCGUUGUAUUAGCUAGUUGGUGAGGUAAAGGCUCACCAAGGCGAUGAUACAUAGCCGACCUGAGAGGGUGAUCGGCCACAUUGGGACUGAGACACGGCCCAAACUCCUACGGGAGGCAGCAGUAGGGAAUCUUCGGCAAUGGACGAAAGUCUGACCGAGCAACGCCGCGUGAGUGAAGAAGGUUUUCGGAUCGUAAAACUCUGUUGGUAGAGAAGAACGUUGGUGAGAGUGGAAAGCUCAUCAAGUGACGGUAACUACCCAGAAAGGGACGGCUAACUACGUG